rnacentral:lncRNA from 1 species
UAAAUUCUUUGACCCUUCCCCCCACCCAAUCUUUCAGAAGCUAUAGAGCUCCAGUGUUGGUAUAAGACUUAAACAACAUCCUGACUGAACUGAGGUAUCUCCUUUGGCUGUCUCUUGUCAAGUGAUGACAGCAUUAUUCAUGACUACCUUGUGUGUGGGAGGGAGCAGCCCCUUUGGAGAAAGGGUCCACCAUCUCUACCACUCCUGCCACCAGUAGCACCAACAUCAACUAUCCUCUAGCCAUUGCUUAAAGCCCACAAGCGAAAACUGAAACAGCCAGGUGCCCUGAGAGAGAAAUAAAAGGGAGCAUGUGCAAGGCCAGAAAAACCACCACCACUAUAUCAACCUCCAGGCCCCUCAUUUCCUCUCGCAUCCCAUGGAGAUAGCCCAGUAUCCUUCACUGAAGAGCCACAGGGGCAGGAGGAUUCUACCCAGCUACUUAAGAUGAGUGUACCCUCAUAUGGCUUUGAAGUCCAAAGACUGAGGCGCAAAGUUUGUGGCACAUGGGGCAUGGGACGCCAGUUGUUACAGGAGGUGAGGUUGUGGCCUGGUGUUGGC